rnacentral:rRNA from 1 species
CGGCAACAGCUCAAAUUUGAAAUCUGCCCGCAAGGGCCGAGUUGUAAUUUGUAGAGGAUGUUUCGGACAAGGCUGUGGUUUAAGUUUCUUGGAACAGAACGUCACAGAGGGUGAGAAUCCCGUCUAGAACUGACGGCCGCGUCCAUGUGAAACCCCUUCGAC